AAGGCGGGAUCUCCUUCUACGGAAACGACCAAAGUCAUGGUCUCUCCGAUCUUAACGAGGCCAUCGGCAGUAGGCGCGAACGGUCCCCUUCCCACUUGUAUAUCCAACUUAGCGCUCGCUGUGUCACCGCUGAACGUUACUAUUUCUUGAUUCAACAUGUCCACGGAGAAGUUAACCGUCAGGGCUUUAUUGAUGUUUCCUUCCCAGAGGCAACGAACUCUGCGUACCGUGUCCCAAACUUCUUGUAUACCUGGUUCGUUCUGAACGGAACGAAACGAAGAAAGAAACAUCGAAGGAAACGUGCGGACACUUAGGACUUGGGACUCGCUCUCGGCGACGAGAAACGUUAAACGGAGAUUGCAGCAUCUACGUCUCGAGUUCUUUCUACAGCCAAUGAAGUUACAUCAUUUUAUUGAUCAAAGAACGCGUGAAGGAAUUUUUCAUGUGUGUUUUGCUACCUUCGAC
rnacentral:misc_RNA from 1 species